UGACUGAUCAAUGAGAGAGUAUAAAGGCCUCGUCGCGGCUGCCAGCCAGAGCAGCACUGCAGGGCCAUCCCGGCUUCAGAGCUCCCCCGCGUGGUCAGUUAAGGCUGUGCCUGGCCUAUGUUUCUUCUGUCUGUCUCCCUCUGCCCACUCUGGCUCCAUUCCCCUCCCUCCCACAGAGGGUGAGGCCAAGGGCCCUCCAUAAUAAACAUGCUUCAUGCUCAGUUCCAUCUCAGAGUCAGCUUCCUGGGAAAGGCACACGUUGACCCUUGAAAGAUGAGCAGCAGCCAGCCAUACCAAGAGGCCAGGGAAGCCGUCCAGACUGGGAGGACACCAAGCCCCAAAGCACUGAGGUUUGAGCGAGCUGGCAUAGUCAAGGUCCAGAGAAGUGGUUGGUCUGCUUGGGACGUGAACUACACCUAAAAUCAUGAGUCGGCCAUCCAGGAAGCAGAAAGAAGAUAUUAUAGACGUUGGAAUGUUUCAAAGUCACGUUAAUUAUGGGAAAAAAAAAACUGAAGCAGCUCCCAGCAGAAUAUACACAGAAAGGACAAACCUAAAACCUCCUUCAAUUGCAGUAAAAAGGCGAGAACCAAGAAAUUACCAUA